rnacentral:rRNA from 1 species
UGGGGAAUUUUCCGCAAUGGGCGAAAGCCUGACGGAGCAACGCCGCGUGAGGGACGAAGGCCUCUGGGCUGUAAACCUCUUUUCUCAAGGAAGAAGAUAUGACGGUACUUGAGGAAUAAGCCACGGCUAAUUCCGUGCCAGCAGCCGCGGUAAUACGGGAGUGGCAAGCGUUAUCCGGAAUUAUUGGGCGUAAAGCGUCCGCAGGCGGCCCUUCAAGUCUGCUGUUAAAACGUGGAGCUUAACUCCAUCAUGGCAGUGGAAACUGUUGGGCUUGAGUAUGGUAGGGGCAGAGGGAAUUCCCGGUGUAGCGGUGAAAUGCGUAGAUAUCGGGAAGAACACCAGUGGCGAAGGCGCUCUGCUGGGCCAUUACUGACGCUCGUGGACGAAAGCCAGGGGAGCGAAAGGGAUUAGAUACCCCUGUAGUCA